CAAGGCCCCCAGUCAAGAAGUCUUUGAGCCUGGAGGAGGAACUCCAAUUCCAGCUCAGAAAUAUGAGGCCUCCCUAGGAAUUGAUGCCCCCAGUCAAGAAGUGCCUGUUCAGGAGAGCUCUGAUCCCCCUGUUGAUCAACCUCCCCAGUCCCCAUCAUCACCUAAGCCCAGUGGAAAGAAGAUC